AGGGUUCGAUUAUGGCUCAGGAUGAACGCUGGCGGCGUGCUUAAUACAUGCAAGUCGAACGAAGCACCUUGGACAGAAUCCUUCGGGAGGAAGACCAUUGUGACUGAGUGGCGCACGGGUGAGUAACGCGUAUCCAACCUGCCUGUUACCACGGCACAGCCCGUCGAAAGGCGGAUUAAUGCCGUAUGUGGUCCUUUGCGGGCAUCUAAUUAGGACUAAAGGUUCGGCGGUAACAGAUGGGGAUGCGUCCGAUUAGCUAGACGGCGGGGUAACGGCCCACCGUGGCUACGAUCGGUAGGGGUUCUGAGAGGAAGGCCCCCCACACUGGAACUGAGACACGGUCCAG
rnacentral:rRNA from 1 species